AGGGAAUCGUCGUUUCCUUGGAAACGGUUAGCCGGGCGAUUAUCACGCAGUCUGUCGUCUGCUCCACUGCUGGUUGCCUCAUCGUUACACUCCUCUUUCAUUUACCACUCGAUUUAUUUAUGAAAGUUAAACAAAUUCAGAUAUGCUACAGAAAUAUAAAGUCAUCGGUAAAAAAGGGGAAGGUAGCUUCGCCGAGGUUUUAACUUGUCAAAAUACCAAAGAUGGAAAAUUAUACGCUUGUAAAAGACUUAAAAGAAAAUUUUCAUGUACGGAGGAAGUAUUGAAUCUCGCAGAAAUUCAAGCUCUUCGUCAUCUUUCACCACACUCAAAUAUCGUUCAAUUAUAUGAUGUUAUUUAUGAUAAAACAACUGGAAGACUUGCUUUGGUAUUCGAGUUGAUGGAUGUAAACAUGCACGAAUUAUUAAAAGCUCGGAAGAGACCUUUACCAGAAUUUCGUGCAAAAAAUUAUAUGUAUCAAUUAUUAAAAUCAUUAAAUCAUAUCCACAGGCAUGGAAUCUUUCAUAGAGAUAUAAAACCAGAAAAUUUAUUAAUAAAGGACAAUUUGCUGAAAUUAGCAGAUUUUGGUAGUAGUAGAAGUAUAUAUACAAAGCCACCUUAUACGGAAUAUAUUUCUACAAGAUGGUACAGGCCUCCAGAAUGUUUACUUACAAAUGGUUAUUAUAGCUUUAAGAUGGAUAUGUGGGCUGCUGGAUGUGUAUUCUUCGAAGUUCUAACAAAUACCCCGUUAUUUCCUGGGAAAAGUGAAGUCGAUCAAAUAACAAAAAUCCAUAAUGUACUUGGAACGCCCAAACCUCAUAUUAUUGCCAAAUUAUUUCAACAUACACAUAGUUUUCGACUCGAUAUUCAUUUUACUCCAACUGAAGGAAGUGGUCUUCCUAAUUUUUCACCUCAAAUAUCCUCUGAUGCUCGUCAUUUAAUUUCACUUCUUUGUACUUAUGAUCAAGAUGAAAGAAUUAACGCCAGACAGGCUUUAAAUCAUCCUUACUUUCGAAAUAUCAGCAGAGAAAUAUCGAAAUUCCCAUCGAAGUACUUCGAUCACAGACAUGUCAGCCAGAUGGAGUAGAGAUUCCUGGAGGACGCCACAAAUUCCUCGGGCGGCAAGUCUUGAUCUAAGAAUUGACUCGGGAGUUUCUAUGUCAUAUGGAUUUAAACCAUACCAUUACGGAGAAUAUACUUUGUAUUUACCGACCAUUCAACCUCAUCGAGCCGAAUGAUUGUUUUAAAAGAUUUCUUCAAAACAAGUUGAAUAAACUCGAGUCAUUUUUUUUCUUUUUUACAAAAAUUUAAUGAAAAUAAAAAUGUUGUUUCUUUGUGUGUUGUAUUUAAUAAAAUGUCUACUCGCUAAUAAUUAAAAGUAAUAUAUUUAUUAAAGUUUCGAAAUAUAUUAAGUAAUUUUGUAUUAAUUAUUCGUUAGAAACGAUUUGUGAAAGUUCGCUGAACAAUUUAUGGAGAAAAUUGUUUAUUCUAUGCAAACAAGUAGCCUACAUUUAAAACUCUAUGAGACUCUAUGGGGGACUCUAUGGGACUCUCAAAGACACUAUGGGGCUC
rnacentral:misc_RNA from 1 species